rnacentral:tRNA from 1 species
GGGUCUGAGGCGUUGUAGGCGGCGCGGCCGGUUGAAUCCCGGCAGGGCGAGGUUCGAUUCCUCGCGGACCCA